rnacentral:tRNA from 1 species
UCCCAGAUAGCUCAGAGGUUAAAGCAUCUGCCCGCAAUGCAGGAGACCUGGGUUCGAUCCCUGGGUUGAGAA